rnacentral:rRNA from 1 species
GACGAACGCUGGCGGCGUGCUUAAUACAUGCAAGUCGAACGGAAAGGCCCUGCUUUUGUGGGGUGCUCGAGUGGCGAACGGGUGAGUAACACGUGAGUAACCUGCCCUUGACUUUGGGAUAACUUCAGGAAACUGGGGCUAAUACCGGAUAGGAGCUCUUGCUGCAUGGUGGUGGUUGGAAAGUUUCGGCGGUUGGGGAUGGACUCGCGGCUUAUCAGCUUGUUGGUGGGGUAGUGGCUUACCACGGCUUUGACGGGUAGCCGGCCUGAGAGGGUGACCGGCCACAUUGGGACUGAGAUACGGCCCAGACGGCAACGGGAGGCAGCAGUGGAAAAUAUUACACAGUGGGCGGGAGCCUGAGGCAGCGACGCCCCGUGCGGAAUGACGGCCUUCGAGUGAUAAACCGCUUUCGACUGUGACGAAGCGUGAGUGACGGUAAUGGGUAAAGAAGCACCGGCUAACUACGUG